UGCCGGAUGCUCCAGUUGAUCGCAUGGUCUUCUGGGAAAGCUUUCGCGGUAUGGGAUGGGGUCGCGUCCUAUCAGCUUGACGGCGGGGUAACGGCCCACCGUGGCUUCGACGGGUAGCCGGCCUGAGAGGGCGACCGGCCACAUUGGGACUGAGAUACGGCCCAGACUCCUACGGGAGGCAGCAGUGGGGAAUAUUGCACAAUGGGCGCAAGCCUGAUGCAGCGACGCCGCGUGAGGGAUGGAGGCCUUCGGGUUGUAAACCUCUUUUAUCGGGGAGCAAGCGAGAGUGAGUUUACCCGUUGAAUAAGCACCGGCUAACUACGUGCCAGCAGCCGCGGUAAUACGUAGGGUGCAAGCGUUAUCCGGAAUUAUUGGGCGUAAAGGGCUCGUAGGCGGUUCGUCGCGUCCGGUGUGAAAGUCCAUCGCUUAACGGUGGAUCCGCGCCGGGUACGGGCGGGCUUGAGUGCGGUAGGGGAGACUGGAAUUCCCGGUGUAACGGUGGAAUGUGUAGAUAUCGGAAAAG
rnacentral:rRNA from 1 species